GAUGAACGCUGGCGGCGUGCCUAAUACAUGCAAGUCGAGCGAACGGACGAGAAGCUUGCUUCUCUGAUGUUAGCGGCGGACGGGUGAGUAACACGUGGAUAACCUACCUAUAAGACUGGGAUAACUUCGGGAAACCGGAGCUAAUACCGGAUAAUAUUUUGAACCGCAUGGUUCAAAAGUGAAAGACGGUCUUGCUGUCACUUAUAGAUGGAUCCGCGCUGUAUUAGCUAGUUGGUAAGGUAACGGCCUACCAAGGGAACGAGGCAUAGCCGACGUGUGAGGGGGAUAGGCCACAUGGGAGCUGGGACGGCGUCCAGGGUCCUGCGGGAGGCAGCAGUAGGGAAUGUUACGCAGUGGGGGAAAGCCUUGCGGAGCGACGCCGCGUGAGUGAUGAAGGUCUUCGGAUCGUAAAACUCUGUUAUUAGGGAAGAACAUAUGUGUAAGUAACUGUGCACAUCGUGACGGUACCUAAUCAAAAAGCCCCGGCUAACUACGUG
rnacentral:rRNA from 1 species